AUGGAUUCGCAGGCCCAGGUCCUCAUGUUGCUGCUGCUCUUGGUGUCUGGUACUUGUGGGGACAUUGUGAUGACUCAGUCUCCAUCCUCCCUGGCUGUGUCAGCAGGAGAGAAGGUCACUAUGAGCUGCAAGUCCAGUCAGAGCCUUUUAUCUAGUGGUAAGAACUACUUGGCUUGGUACCAGCAGAAACCAGGGAAGUCUCCUAAACUGCUGAUCUACUGGGCAUCCACUAGGGAAUCAGGGGUCCCUGAUCGCUUCAUAGGCAGUGGAUCUGGGACAGAUUUCACUCUCACCAUCAGCAGUGUGCAGGCUGAAGACCUGGCAGAUUAUUAUUGUCAACAAGUCUACAGUGGUUCUCCCACAGUGUUUCAGCCUUCUACAAAAACCUCCUUGAGAUCUCACAGCUGUCUGUACCACACAUAG